rfam:Schistosoma margrebowiei strain Zambia genome assembly, scaffold: SMRZ_scaffold0000325
GCACUGCUGAAGAGUCUCAUACUAGGACGAAACGACCGUCCAGUGC